AACGAUGCCCUCUAGAUUGGAAUAACGCUGAGAAAUUAGCGCUAAUGCCGGAUACUUAUUAUUAACACAUGUUGAUAAUAUAAAAGGAGCGUUUGCUUCACUAGAGGAUCGGGGUGCGGAACAUUAGCUAGUUGGUAGGGUAAUGGCCUACCAAGGCGAUGAUGUUUAGCGGGGUUGAGAGACUGAACCGCCACACUGGGACUGAGAUACGGCCCAGACUCCUACGGGAGGCAGCAGUAGGGAAUUUUCCACAAUGAGCGAAAGCUUGAUGGAGCGACACAGCGUGCAGGAUGACGGCCUUCGGGUUGUAAACUGCUGUUAUAAGGGAAGAAAAAGCAGUAGAGGAAAUGCUAUUGCCUUGACGGUACCUUGUCAGAAAGCAACGGCUAACUAUGUGCCAGCAGCCGCGGUAAUACAUAGGUUGCAAGCGUUAUCCGGAAUUAUUGGGCGUAAAGCGUCUGUAGGUUGUUUGUUAAGUCUGGCGUCAAAACUUGGGGCUCAACCCCAAAUCGCGUUGGAUACUGGCAAACUAGAGUUAUUUAGAGGUUAAUGGAAUUCCUUGUGAAGCGGUGGAAUGCGUAGAUAUAAGGAAGAACACCAACAUGGCGAAGGCAAUUAACUGGGAAUACACUGACACUGAGAGACGAAAGCGUGGGGAGCAAACAGGAUUAGAUACCCUGGUAGUCCACGCCGUAAACGAUGAUGAUUAGCUGAUGGACACCAUCGGCGCAGCUAACGCAUUAAAUCAUCCGCCUGAGUAGUAUGCUCGCAAGAGUGAAACUUAAAGGAAUUGACGGGGAUCCGCACAAGCGGUGGAGCAUGUGGUUUAAUUUGAAG
rnacentral:rRNA from 1 species